UACGUAGGGCGCAAGCGUUGUCCGGAAUUAUUGGGCGUAAAGAGCUCGUAGGCGGCCUGUCGCGUCCGCUGUGAAAUCCCGGGGCUUAACCCCGGGCCGUGCAGUGGAUACGGGCUGGCUAGAGGCAGGCAGGGGAGAACGGGAAUUCCCGGUGUGAGGCGGUGGAAAUGACGCAGAUAUCGAGAGGAACACCGGUGGCGAAGGCGGUCUCUGGGCCUGUUCUGACGCUGAGGAGCGAAAGCGUGGGAGCAAAACAGG
rnacentral:rRNA from 1 species